GCCAACACCACGUUAGAAACUCGACUUCCUUUUCCCUUGUUUUCUCAUCGCUCCUUCAUCAUCAUUUCUCCUCCUCCUCCUCCUCCGCCUCCUUCAUCCUGGAUCUGUCAGGUAGCUUGAGGACAGCAUGUCAGAUCCGUGUGGAUUUUUCUUUCCCUCCUGCCUCGGCUGCUGGAGCUCACUCCCCUGCCCCAGAUGCCAACUCAAGAGUAAAUUAUUGCAGGGAGUGUGGAGCUUAAUGUGAUCGAUCGGCCAGGCCCUUUCAAGAUCAGCGCCAGUAUAAGCAUCUCUUCCCCUAACACACAUGCUGCCUCUUUCCCCUCAGGUCUGUGCUGUGAGAGGCGUCGGGUGGUUCAGUUUACCACACGCCCCCGCUGGCCUGCGAUCGAAUCCUGCCAGAGCUCCUGACUCCCCUCUGUCUCCCCCUCUGCUGUCUCAACAAUUAAAUCAGUCAAGGCACGUUUCCCUUCAAAGUCCAGAGCGUGGAGGAGUGAGGGAAGAAGAGAAAUCGCUGUGUGACGAAGGGGGAGAUGAGGCAACACCGACGAGGCUGGAGUGAAAUAGAGAUGCAAGGCUGCAAGUCGAGAGGGAAAGCACUAACUCGAGUGAGGAAGAGGGAGCGGAAAGAAGGAAUCAAGUUGGAAUCGGGGAAAGAAACGCGGGAAAAGACGACCUCCGCUUCACAUCUGAGAAACUCUGGGCAAACUUUGACGAGGGAGUCAUCUCAAGGUGGACCGAUGUCGUAGAUGCCCUCUCUGUCCCGCUCUUCAUCUUCUUCUCCACAACCAUUGAAAACGGUUGUAAUCAUAACUGAAUCUUGUGGAUCUCGUAUCUAGAAAAUGAUCAAGAAAUAAAGAUAUUGCACCUUUCCAAUAUUUAUAUGUUAUGUUUUAAGGUAAAGAUUAAGCUAUGUAUGUAUGAAUAGUUUUGGUUAGGAUACUUUUAAGCCUGUUAUUCUGCUACUAUUAUCUUUAUCACAUUUGUGUGAGAUCCCUGAGCUCUGAACAGCUAUAGACUCAGUAUAAGCUCAAUAAAUCAUGUUCAAAAUCCUCUUGUCAUUUACCAACAGUUUAAAAUAAAUAGUUCCUCCUGAAUGAAUUGCAUCUCCCCCACAAUGCGCUCAUCUGCUGCAUUGCUGAAAAACGAUGUUCAGCAAAAGAAAAGACGAUUGUGGGGGAAAUGCAGACAAAAAGGUCAGGAUUAUGUUUUAAUUGAACUGAUCGGUUUUGCUUCUGAUCUGCAGCAAACCAGGGAGACUGCUCGCUGCUGCAGAAUCCAAACGUCAGAUGAGGUCAUGUCUUUGUCUGGGUGCAGCGACUCUGCGGUUCCUAAUUUUUAAUACGUUUCAUCUCACCGAUGUUUCUUUUUUGCACAUUCGGUUGCUCUAUAGCUAAACCCUUCCUGGGUAGUUUACUUUGACAGUAUGCCCCUCUGUCCCUGAGACCCUUAACCUGUGAGGUCAAAGCAGGUCACAGGUGAGGUCCUCGGGAACAGGGCUGCAUUCAGUUUCAACGUCCUGUAAAAGAGAAGAAGUUUGUCAAAUGUCUUGUUGAUGAACGUCUGUUCGAUAUUUAAACCAUUGAUGCAUGUCAGUAUCCAGCUGUAUGGCUCCUCAGACUGAUUCAGCAUGUUUUCCUGUCAUGUCAUGAUUGAGACGCGUCGGGUUGGACAAGAAGACGAUGAUCCCUCCACCUGCUGCACAAUCCGCUCAGGGGGCCAACCCUAUUGGCUGGCUUUGUGUUAUAGCCCUCACUGGGGGCCAAUAGAAAGACAGCCAAGGGUUGUGACCCCGUCAUAUAUAUCACCUUCAGUUAUUGGUACAUCAUGUGCAUGUUUGCGUGUAUUCAACUUUCUGUUUAUUACCUGUGUGUCUUAAUAAAAAUAUGAUAAAGAAAA